rnacentral:lncRNA from 1 species
GGGUGGAAAAAUGAAAAUCCUAACGCGAUAAUAGGUUCUAGUGGGUGCUGUGGUCCCAUCGAUGUAUGGUACCUCACCUAACAGUUAUUGAUGAUAUGUUUAUCAUUAUGUGGACAACUCUUUGUCUAAAUGCUUCUCCAAGCAUGUUGCAGCGACUUGGUUUCUAAGUCUUGUGGCCUCACUUGACAGUUAUUAGCACAUUUCUUAGUUAAAUCCGACCCACCGUUUAUCAGUGAGUGCAAAGCCGUCAUUGGGUCCCUCACCUAAUAGUUAUUGGGCUCAACCCCAUCUUUACCCCAGGGCAUCUAAUGCCAAUAGAGUGAUUGUGCCUUU